AUGUAAAUUCGUUUCGCAGAAAUUCAGAGAUUUUCGAUCUCCUCAAAAGAAAAUGAGUUCGAUCAGCAACACCGGUCUCCGCAGCACCAGGAUAAAGACCUUCUUUUUACCCAUAACCUUUCUCUGCAGCAUUGGAACCAAGAUCGGGCUUGGCAUAGUUACGAGGUUCCCGUUCUAUUUAACUAA
rnacentral:rRNA from 1 species